AACGAACGCUGGCGGCAUGCUUAACACAUGCAAGUCGAACGGAUAAGUGCUUUAGGCAACUAAAGAAUACUGUUAGUGGCAAACGGGUGAGUAACACGUGGGAAUCUGCCUGAUAGUACGGAAUAACAUUUGGAAACAAAUGCUAAUACCGUAUAUUCUCUACGGAGGAAAGAUUUAUCGCUAUCAGAUGAGCCCGCGUUAGAUUAGGUAGUUGGUGGGGUAAUGGCCUACCAAGCCUACGAUCUAUAGCUGGUCUGAGAGGAUGACCAGCCACACU
rnacentral:rRNA from 1 species